ACUGCCUGGUAUACCACGCUGAAUGUGCCUAAUCUCGUCUGAUCUCAGAAGCUAAGCAGAGUUGGGCCUGGUUAGUAUUGGAUGGGAGACCUAGUGCUAUGUUUACUUCCUUAGUA
ensembl:rRNA 5S_rRNA 5S ribosomal RNA